UUGACAGGCCCUUUCAGAGCAGGAAAAUGAAGCUGGCCCUCUGCGAAGAUGUCCUCCUGGAGAGGGAGACGGGAGAGGGAGUCUCUUGGAGUUCUCUGAUAAGAAUCCAGAAACUGAGAAGAGGAGGAUUUGCCAACUCAGCCACCUUCUGCACACCUGAUUACCUGAGGAAUUUGGCAUCUGGGCACACUGACAGGUGUUACAAGGGAAGGGAAGAACCCCCAGCAAGAAAAGAUCUUGGUGAUUCUGAUUUGUAGCCUCAUCAGAAGCCACGCAGUGCCAUAGGAGAAAUGCAGUGCUCACGGCAAUAAUCUUUCGGAGAAGGUCUGGAAGAUCUACAAAAAUAAAAACUAUACAUUCAACAA